AGAGUCAGUGAGCCAAUAAGCAUCCAGCAUGCUUCUACCAAGAUCUAAUAAUGGUUGUGAUUGGCUGUCCAACGUUACACGUCGUAGAGACACAGAGGAAUAAUUGUACGUGACACUGAGG